CGCCUUGCCAGCCCGCUCAGAACUUAAAGGAAUUGACGGGGCCCGCACAAGCGGUGGAGCAUGUGGUUUAAUUCGAUGAUACGCGAGGAACCUUACCUGGGCUCGAACGUAAGAUGACUGUAGGUGAAAGCUUACAUCUCUUCGGAGCAUUUUACGAGGUGCUGCAUGGUUGUCGUCAGCUCGUGUCGUGAGAUGUUGGGUUAAGUCCCGCAACGAGCGCAACCCUUGCCUUUAGUUGCCAGCAGUUCGGCUGGGCACUCUAAAGGGACUGCCGGUGUUAAACCGGAGGAAGGUGGGGAUGACGUCAAGUCCUCAUGGCCUUUAUGACCAGGGCUACACACGUACUACAAUGGCCGAUACAAAGGGCAGCGACAUCGCGAGGUGAAGCCAAUCCCAUAAAAUCGGUCUCAGUCCGGAUUGGAGUCUGCAACUCGACUCCAUGAAGUUGGAAUCGCUAGUAAUCGUGGAUCAGCAUGCCACGGUGAAUACGUUCCCGGGCCUU
rnacentral:rRNA from 1 species